UGCAAACAUAUGAGCAAAGGCUUUCUAGCAGGGAAAGUGUGUGCCUGUGUAAACUGGAAAAAUAUGCAUCACUGUACUUUAUACAGUUUAUCCAUGUUCCACUUACUCUGCUUUUAUUAGCAAAAUCUGUUUUUGAGUAAAGUAACCGAUGGUGGCAGGAGCAGCGGUUGAGAUACGCCCGUUGCCUUGCUCCCGCUGAUCACAGCUCCCACGUUCACAAGUGAAACAGCAGCUAUGAGAGGGAAAAAAAACGCGAGGAGAGCUGGGUGUGGCUAUGCGCUCAAACAUUUGUGACACUUCUUUACUGUAAGGACAGUGUGGCUGAACCGCUGAGGAGCACAGAGCAGACUGGUCACAUAUUGUGGAUUGUAAAAUGUUCGGUAACAAUCAAGGAAAUUAUCCUCCGGGGAAUUAUCCUCCGGGGAAUUAUUCAGGCCCACAGCAGCCCCAGGUCUGUCCUCCACAGCAGCCCCAGGUCUGUCCUCCACAACAUCCCCCAGGCUGUGGCCCCUCCUGCAACUCUGGAGAAGGGCAUGGGCAUGGGCAUGGUCACGGUCACGAUCAUGGUCACGGACACGGUCACGGUCACGAUCAUGGUCACGGACACGGUCAUGGUCACGGUCAUGGGCAUGGUCAUGGGCAUGGUCAUGGUCAUGGGCAUGGUUCUCACCAUGGCCAUAAGCAUGGACACUGCUGAUGAAAACAGCAAGCAUUGUGGACAUGGCUCAAGUGAAAGCAAGAGUGAACCGCUGAAGACGUACAAGAGUGAUAUACACCAGCACCAUCCAUAACCAACCCUGUUCUUUUCAUUAUAACUAAUUUUCUUCUGAUAUUGUUGUUUUUUCAAUAUACAAUUUAUGAAGCCUGUUUUGUGCAUUAAGACUUGCUUUAAAAUCAUCAGUAAUAUCAGCGUUAAGUAUGCUGUUUGUAUUGACUACAGGGUAAACGAGGUCAACAGAUCAACAGAUUCUAAAUGGCUUUGAGGUUUAUACUUCAUUCAAGAAAAUUAACUGUUCAGGAUCAAUAAAAUGUUGUGCAGAAAUUGAACUGUGCA
rnacentral:lncRNA from 1 species